UACGAAGGGGGCUAGCGUUGCUCGGAAUCACUGGGCGUAAAGCGCACGUAGGCGGACUCUUAAGUCAGGGGUGAAAUCCUGGAGCUCAACUCCAGAACUGCCUUUGAUACUGAGGAUCUUGAGUACGGGAGAGGUGAGUGGAACUGCGAGUGUAGAGGUGAAAUUCGUAGAUAUUCGCAAGAACACCAGUGGCGAAGGCGGCUCACUGGCCCGGUACUGACGCUGAGGUGCGAAAGCGUGGGGAGCAAACAGG
rnacentral:rRNA from 1 species